ACAGGCGUGCAAUUGUUAGACAUUGCCCAACAAAAAAUAUUAAUAAAGCACGUCUGUGACAAUGAUCGCUGUGAUUUUUACAAAUAUUUCUCAUUUUCCUUCUACAUAACCAAAGCUUCAUCCAUCAGUGGAGCUGAAAUUAAAGGCACACAAACACGAGUACAUCAAAGUGAAUAAACCAGUAAAAUUAAAAUGAAUUCCUUGGAUUAAGCAUAAUAACUUACAGACAUAAUUCCUGCAUCAUUGACUAGGUUUCUUAUAUCUGCACUAGAAUAUCCAACUGUCUGAAACACAAGUUGUACAGGAAGAGAAAAGUAAAAUACGGUAAAUGGCUUUACCACUCAUUGAGCAUAUUUAAGCAACUAUCUCAGUACUAAGUGCCGUGUAAGGCAAGUUAAAAGGUAACUAAAACUCGACAAGAGAAUACAGACGAAGAGAGUA
rnacentral:lncRNA from 1 species